UUACAGUCUAGAGAAGGUGGCGAAGAAAUGUAACGGGGCUAGAGUUGUUUAUAGCUUGAUAGGAAAGAGUUAGUAUUUUGAAUUUACUCCUAUAGGGUACAGGAAGUCAAAGUAAGGAUUGACAGAAGGGCGAUGUGCGAGAGCAGAAACAGGAGAGAAAAAUCAGCCUGGUGGCAAAAUUCAUUUCAGACUGUAGCGACUACGAGGCAGCACGGCUUCUGGGAAGACAAACAUAGGAGAGAAGUACAUAUAUAUACAUAUGAUAUCAAAAGUAUUAAUUUAAUCAGGUAAAUAAA